GUAUACGGGAGAUGCAAGCGUUAUCCGGAAUCACUGGGCGUAAAGCGUCUGUAGGUGGUUUGUUAAGUCUGUUGUUAAAAACUGAAGCUCAACUUCAGGGGUGCGGCAGAAACUGGCAAACUUGAGUGUGGUAGGGGUAGGAGGAAUUUCUAGUGUAGCGGUGAAAUGCGUAGAUAUUAGGAAGAACACCAUUAGCGAAGGCGUCCUACUGGGCCAUAACUGACACUCAGAGACGAAAGCUAGGGGAGCAAACGGGAUUAGAUACCCCGGUAGUCCUAGCCGUAAACGAUGGAUACUAGGUGUCGCGGGUUUACCUGCGGUGUCGUAGCUAACGCGUUAAGUAUCCCGCCUGGGAAGUACGCACGCAAGUGUGAAACUCAAAGGAAUUGACGGGGGCCCGCACAAGCGGUGGAGCAUGUGGUUUAAUUCUGAUGCAACGCGAAGAACCUUACCAGGAUUUGACAUACUAGGAAUUUCCUUUAAUCGGGAAAGUGCCCUCGGGAACCUAGAUACAGGUGGUGCAUGGCUGUCGUCAGCUCGUGUCGUGAGAUGUUGGGUUAAGUCCCGCAACGAGCGCAACCCUUGUCUUUAUUUGCCAUUCUUAAGUGGGGGACUAUAAAGAGACUGCCCGUGAAAAGCGGGAGGAAGGUGAGGAUGACGUCAAGUCAGCAUGCCCCUUAUAUCCUGGGCUACACACGUGUUACAAUGGUUAGGACAAUGAGAAGCCAGCUUGCGAAAGUUAGCAAAUCU
rnacentral:rRNA from 2 species